GUACACUCCUACGGGAGGCAGCAGUGGGGAAUAUUGGACAAUGGGCGCAAGCCUGAUCCAGCCAUGCCGCGUGAGUGAUGAAGGCCCUAGGGUUGUAAAGCUCUUUCACCGGUGAAGAUAAUGACGGUAACCGGAGAAGAAGCCCCGGCUAACUUCGUGCCAGCAGCCGCGGUAAUACGAAGGGGGCUAGCGUUGUUCGGAUUUACUGGGCGUAAAGCGCACGUAGGCGGACUAUUAAGUCAGGGGUGAAAUCCCGGGGCUCAACCCCGGAACUGCCUUUGAUACUGGUAGUCUUGAGUUCGAGAGAGGUGAGUAGAAUUCCGAGUGUAGAGGUGAAAUUCGUAGAUAUUCGGAGGAACACCAGUGGCGAAGGCGGCUCACUGGCUCGAUACUGACGCUGAGGUGCGAAAGCGUGGGGAGCAAACAGGAUUAGAAACCCGAGUAGUCCCAUG
rnacentral:rRNA from 1 species